GGAGGGGUCCCAGCCCUCUGGGUGGGGACACGGGGCCCCCAGCCAGCAUUUGUGCACUGGCUACUUCCCCAGCGCUAGGCCCCGGAAGGAAGCGGAUACUUGAAGCUGCGCUGGGCCUCAAUUCUCCAUCUGUGCAGUGGGCUGCUAGCAGGAGAGUGAGGUUUUAUGGGGCUGGGGAAUCGAACCCAGGGCCUCCUGCCUGCUAGGCAAGCACUGUACCACCCUGCGUACCACCCAGCCUGUAGCAGCUAUCAGAUGCUGCCCACCUCUGCACUGGGGAUUGGACCCAGGGCCUUUGCCCUGAGCUACAUCCCCAGCUCUUGUUUAUUUCAACAAAGGUCACACUGAGUCACUAACUUGCCCAGGCUGGACUCUACCUUCUCACUCUCCUGCCUCAGCCUCCCAGAGUGCUGGGAUUACAGGUGUGGGGCACUUGUUGAGGAAAAGUCACUUCCUUCUGCCUCCUGCAGGCAAAUGUUGAUUGAGCACCUAUUACCUGCUGGCAUUGUGUUGGGCCUCGAGGUUAAAGCGGUGACUGAGAGAAAAGUCUGAGAAGACGAGGCUUCAGAGACGAGACUCCAGAGCCAAAUCAAGAGGGCUGCUGUCAGGAUCAGACGGCAUCAGGGGUGUAAAAGCGCUGGGCACAGAAGACGAAGCUGCACCUUGGCCUCCUGACCCCUGCGUCGCUUUGGGAAGGUCUGUGACAGAAGUGAUGGUCACCGGCGACAAAGCCACCCACAGGCCACCCCUCUGAACGGGACACGUGUCUCCUAGUUUCCGAAAAAGGACAGAUUUAGAUGCUGAGUCCCUUAGGAACUCGUUUCUAGGAUGCCACGGAGACAGGGAAGAGUCCCCAAGGGCUCACACCGCCUGCUCUGGUCUCGAGGUGGGGUCAAGGUCCCGCGGGCCGAAGCCAGCAGAUCCCUGCGGGAAAAACCCAUCUGGGAGAAUCGGGUAGAGCCGCGGGACACAGAGAUCUCCAAGACACGCUGGGCGAAGACAGACAGUGGAUGUCCCUCGAGACCGGACUGCUAGAUGGAACAAAUCAGACCCAGAAGGUUGAACAUCACAUGGAGACAGGAGCUCCCGGGUCUGCCUGCUGACGGCCGCCUCCUCCGGACUCCAGGGGAGCUGCCGAGGACAGGAAGGAAGGGGCUGCAGUCAAGGGAGAGUCGCUGCCGGAAGUCACGGGGCCUCUCUGAUCCGCAGAGCCCCCUAAGGCUCAACACAGAGCCUGGACACGGAGAUGGAGAGGGACUCACUUCACAGUCGGGAGGAAGAUCAUGUGAGAAAACGCGUAUACCAGGCCGGGCGUGGUGCCCAGCACUCAGGAGGCUGAAGCAGGAGGAUUGCUGUGAAGUCGCGGCCUAGACUACGUGGCCAGACGCUGUCUCAGAAACAGCCAGGUUUCUGUAAAUGUCUUUGGAAGGAAACAAGUACAGAGAGGCCAAGACACCGGCCCAAAGCAAAUGGCUUAUACGUAUGGUACACAUUUGAGACUCAAAUCCAAAUAUUCUGAUGUUAAAGUCAUCAGAACUUCUAACUACAGCUGUAUCCCGAUUCCCCUUUGCCUAUCAAAACCUCCCAACCAAUCCGGCCAGCAGGGAAUCAAGGCAGAUAUUCUCUGGCUCCUCUACCUGGGGAACAGAUUUUUGUGACACAUCAGUCAUUUACACAUUAGUCUAAAUGACAGCCUACUUUCCAAAUUUCUUUCCUGACCUGUCUCUGUGCCCCAGAGCUGUUUGUAACUCCCCAGCUUAGCAUUUGCCACAGGCAUUGUAAUCAUCCUCUGUCCCCCGUGGAGAUAAACUUGUGGAUUGGAUCACCGAGGGUGGUAUUUAUUGGUUUCAGCAUCCCUGGAGAAUCACCCAGCUGACACUAGGCGAGAAGUGAUGAACAAAACUAAUGAAAUGAGUUAAUAAAACCUGUCCCAGUG